GAUGAACGCUGGCGGCGUGCCUAAUACAUGCAAGUCGAGCGAACGGACGAGAAGCUUGCUUCUCUGAUGUUAGCGGCGGACGGGUGAGUAACACGUGGAUAACCUACCUAUAAGACUGGGAUAACUUCGGGAAACCGGAGCUAAUACCGGAUAAUAUUAUGAACCGCAUGGUUCAAAAGUGAAAGACGGUCUUGCUGUCACUUAUAGAUGGAUCCGCGCUGCAUUAGCUAGUUGGUAAGGUAACGGCUUACCAAGGCAACGAUGCAUAGCCGACCUGAGAGGGAGAUCGGCCACACUGGAACUGAGACACGGUCCAGACUCCUACGGGAGGCAGCAGUAGGGAAUCUUCCGCAAUGGGCGAAAGCCUGACGGAGCAACGCCGCGUGAGUGAUGAAGGUCUUCGGAUCGUAAAACUCUGUUAUUAGGGAAGAACAUAUGUGUAAGUAACUGUGCACAUCUUGACGGUACCUAAUCAGAAAGCCACGGCUAACUACGUG
rnacentral:rRNA from 1 species